rnacentral:rRNA from 1 species
UACAGAGGGGGCAAGCGUUGUUCGGAAUUACUGGGUGUAAAGGGCGCGUAGGCGGCCUUCUAAGUCGAACGUGAAAUCCCCGGGCUCAACCCGGGAACUGCGUCCGAUACUGGAAGGCUUGAAUCCGGGAGAGGGAUGCGGAAUUCCAGGUGUAGCGGUGAAAUGCGUAGAUAUCUGGAGGAACACCGGUGGCGAAGGCGGCAUCCUGGACCGGCAUUGACGCUGAGGCGCGAAAGCCAGGGGAGCAAACGGG